rnacentral:rRNA from 1 species
GGCUCAGGAUGAACGCUGGCGGCGUGCUUAACACAUGCAAGUCGAACGAACCUUCGGGUUAGUGGCGGACGGGUGAGUAACGCGUGGGAAUCUGCCCUCAGGAGGGGGAUAACGGUUGGAAACGACCGCUAAUACCCCAUAUGCCGAGAGGUGAAAUGAAUUUCGCCUGAGGAUGAGCCCGCGUCUGAUUAGCUUGUUGGUGAGGUAAUGGCUCACCAAGGCAUCGAUCAGUAGCUGGUCUGAGAGGAUGAUCAGCCACACUGGGACUGAGACACGGCCCAGACUCCUACGGGAGGCAGCAGUGGGGAAUUUUCCGCAAUGGGCGAAAGCCUGACGGAGCAACGCCGCGUGAGGGACGAAGGCCUCUGGGCUGUAAACCUCUUUUCUCAAGGAAGAAGAUAUGACGGUACUUGAGGAAUAAGCCACGGCUAAUUCCGUGCCAGCAGCCGCGGUAAUACGGGAGUGGCAAGCGUUAUCCGGAAUUAUUGGGCGUAAAGCGUCCGCAGGCGGCUUUUCAAGUCUGCUGUUAAAACGUGGAGCUUAACUCCAUCAUGGCAGUGGAAACUGAUUGGCUUGAGUAUGGUAGGGGCAGAGGGAAUUCCCGGUGUAGCGGUGAAAUGCGUAGAUAUCGGGAAGAACACCAGUGGCGAAGGCGCUCUGCUGGGCCAUUACUGACGCUCAUGGACGAAAGCCAGGGGAGCGAAAGGGAUUAGAUACCCCUGUAGUCCUGGCCGUAAACGAUGAACACUAGGUGUCGGGGGAAUCGACCCCUUCGGUGUCGUAGCUAACGCGUUAAGUGUUCCGCCUGGGGAGUACGCACGCAAGUGUGAAACUCAAAGGAAUUGACGGGGGCCCGCACAAGCGGUGGAGUAUGUGGUUUAAUUCGAUGCAACGCGAAGAACCUUACCAGGGCUUGACAUCCUGCGAACCUUUAAGAAAUUAGAGGGUGCCUUCGGGAACGCAGUGACAGGUGGUGCAUGGCUGUCGUCAGCUCGUGUCGUGAGAUGUUGGGUUAAGUCCCGCAACGAGCGCAACCCACGUUUUUAGUUGCCAGCAUUCAGUUGGGCACUCUAGAAAGACCGCCGGUGAUAAACCGGAGGAAGGUGUGGAUGACGUCAAGUCAUCAUGCCCCUUACGUCCUGGGCUACACACGUACUACAAUGCUACGGACAAAGGGCAGCAAACUCGCGAGAGCUAGCAAAUCCCAUAAACCGUGGCUCAGUUCAGAUCGUAGGCUGCAACUCGCCUACGUGAAGUAGGAAUCGCUAGUAAUCGCAGGUCAGCAUACUGCGGUGAAUACGUUCCCGGGCCUUGUACACACCGCCCGUCACACCAUGGAAGUUGGCCACGCCCGAAGUCGUUACUUUAACCCUUGUGGAGAAGGACGCCGAAGGUGGGGCUGAUGACUGGGGUGAAGUCGUAACAAGGUAGCCGUACCGGAAGGUGCGGCUGGAUCACCUCCUAA